GAUGAACGCUGGCGGCGUGCCUAAUACAUGCAAGUCGAGCGAACGGACGAGAAGCUUGCUUCUCUGAUGUUAGCGGCGGACGGGGGAGUAACACGUGGAUAACCUACCUAUAAGACUGGGAUAACUUCGGGAAACCGGAGCUAAUACCGGAUAAUAUUUUGAACCGCAUGGUUCAAAAGUGAAAGACGGUCUUGCUGUCACUUAGAGAUGGAUCCGCUCUGCAUUAGCUAGUUGGUAAGGUAACGGCUUACCAAGGCAACGAUGCAUAGCCGACCUGAGAGGGGGAUCGGCCGCACUGGAACUGAGACACGGUCCAGACUCCUACGGGAGGCAGCAGUAGGGAAUCUUCCGCAAUGGGCGAAAGCCUGACGGAGCAACGCCGCGUGAGUGAUGAAGGUCUUCGGAUCGUAAAACUCUGUUAUUAGGGAAGAACAUAUGUGUAAGUAACUGUGCACAUCUUGACGGUACCUAAUCAGAAAGCCACGGCUAACUACGUG
rnacentral:rRNA from 1 species